GUUGCCCAUGUUGAUCUCAAACUCCUGAGCUCAAGCAAUCCUCCUGCCUUGGCCUCCCAAAGUGUUGGGAUUGGAGGCUUCAGCCACCACACCAGGCCAGUUUAGUAAGAUUCUGACCCUCGAUGAUCCUGUGGAUAAUUUUUCUCUUCAAAUGUCACAUGUCGGAUACCUGUUGAAUGUGACAGUGACAGGGACUGGGAACCUGGGAGCUUCUCAGCAUCUCCUUUUCACACUCUGCCUCUGAGCAGCUGGGAAUCCUUACCCCUCCAAUCUCCUGACUGCUCAUCUCCCUGGAGCCAGGACCCUGAAUCAGUAUUCACGGCCUGUUAGUGGCUUGCAAGGCAGAGCAGACAGAUGGACGUGCUCGGGAAGCCUAUUGAUCAGCCCUUGGUGUGACCUGCCCAGACCUGGUUCUGUUUCAAGCACUGAUCACGUGGACAAGGAGUCCUUAAUUCCUCUCAGCACCAUUUGAGAUGAGCAACUACACAAGACAAAGACGAAAGGCUUUUUCAGCUCAAAAAUCCUGUGAUUCUUUGAUUCUAAGAAGAGAUUUUCUUACAAGGAGUUUGCCUAAGUGUCCACACGGCUUGUGUCUCCUCCCAGCAGCCGGCCUGCUGGUGUGUGUGCUGUGUGUGGAGAGUGGCCUUAGGCCUGUGUUGUGAGUGAUGUCUGCAGAGCAUGGGGUUGAUUUGGAAGAAGGUGUGAUCCGAAGUUGUGUUUGACCUGAGCUCCUGUCACCCCUGAAGGCAGCAGAGGAUCUCCUGUCAGUGACCCAGGAGGACAGCUUUCUGAAGGACAUUCUGCCCAUUGCACAGAGGGGCUUUUGUGAUUGGUUUGCCCAGAUGUGACUUUUUCCCCUACCUUUGAAGGCCUAGAUUGGGUUUCCCAUUUCUUGGCCCUUUGGAAAGGCCAAUGGCUCCCUGUCUGACAGGCUGCCCUGAGCAGCAGGUGCUCCAUUUAGACCCAGGCUGCCCCAAUCCCAGCUCUGAUCUGACUCUCAGCUCUGAGGCUCCAUUGAGUCCCUGGGCCUCAGGGACCCUGUUCAGGCUUUGCUGAUGGUGGCAUCAAGUGACCUCCGAGCCACCUCCACGUUGGCUCAGACUGAGGAAACUGGUGAUCUUGUCUUGCUGUUUGCAAUACUUGAAGACAAAAACAGAACUUGUGCUGCAUUCUCAAGAAAGAAGAGACAACUGUUCCUGUACCUCACUCUUGUAGAUAUCUGUAUGAAGAAGCAGUGAUGGGUGCAUGCAAGCUAGGGAGCAUCAAGGCUCCCACUGCGUGGGCGCCAGCUGACCCCUGACCUCGUUUUCAUCUGUUGCUCUGGUCAUGGCUCUGAGAUCUGGGCAACCUGAGCCAGCUUGUGCAUUCCUUACCCUUGUGCUUUUGCACUAUCCAUCCCUGUCCCCUAGAACUCCCUCCAGUACAGUCUGCUCCACCCCAUCCCAUCCCAUCCCAUCCCAUGCCAUCCCAUCCCCUCACCUCACUCCAUCCUACCCCAUCCUACCACAUCCCACCCCAUCCCAUUCCAUCCCAGCCCACACCACCCC
rnacentral:lncRNA from 1 species